UACAUGGGGUGCAAACGUUGCUCGGAAUCAUUGGGCGUAAAGCGCGUGUAGGCGGUUACUUAAGUCGGAUGUGAAAGCCCUCGGCUUAACUGAGGAAGUGCAUCCGAAACUGGGUAGCUAGAGUACGAAAGAGGGUCGCGGAAUUCCCGGUGUAGAGGUGAAAUUCGUAGAUAUCUGGAGGAACACCGGUGGCGAAGGCGGCAUCCUGGACCGGCAUUGACGCUGAUGAGCGAAAGCCAGGGGAGCAAACGGG
rnacentral:rRNA from 1 species